rnacentral:rRNA from 1 species
GAUGAACGCUGGCGGCGUGCCUAAUACAUGCAAGUCGAGCGAAGCGGGGACGGGUGAGUAACACGUGGCUAACCUCCUCUAAGACUGGGAUAACUUCGGGAAACCGGAGCUAAACCGGAUAAUUAUAGAUGAAUCCGCGCUGCAUUAGCUAGUUGGUAAGUUAACGGCUUACAAAGGCAACGAUGCAUAGCCGACCUGAGAGGGUGAUCGGCCACCCUGGAACUGAGAAACGUUCCAGACUCCUACGGGAGGCAGAAGUAGGGAAUCUUCCGCAAUGGGCGAAAGCCUGACGGAUCAACGCCGCGUGAGUGAGGAAGGUCUUCGGACCGUAAAACUCUGUUAUUAGGGAAGCGGUACCUAAUCAGAAAGCCACGGCUAACUACGUGCCAGCAGCCGCGGUAAUUC